rnacentral:lncRNA from 1 species
GGGUGCGGGGACCCGCAACUUUCGGAGUACCGUACCACCAACCACCAGCACUAACGACCCCUUUCGGCGGUCCAGCGCGCGUCCAGCCUUGUAAGCCACCCUCAAAAGAAAGGAAACAAUUUUCUGUUGCAUAACAAAUAUGACACUGCCGUCACUGCAGGUGGCGGCACUGUCCAACCUUCGCAUCAGGUCAGCCGCAGCCGCCUACCAGGAAACGACACUUCAAAGUGUAUGGAACGGUACGACAGUACAGCCAUGUCGUGUCUGCUGCAGCAGAACUGUAUGACAAAGUAUGGUGGUACAGCAAUGUUGCGCUACGAUUCCAGGCUCUCAUGCGCUUCUGCUGAAACUCCCCCUGAACUGGACAACCCUGAAUGACCAGCACUUUGCAUCUGGCGCUCUUUUGGGGUCAUCUACGUAGAGGAAACGACAGGAAGCGGAACAGAGGGGACGGGGCAUGGAAUUUAUUCGUAGCUUGCCUAAUGCACCCUGCACACAAACUUUGACUGAAUACCCAUAUCCUAAUUUCAUUUAAUAAAGCCUUUAUUAAAAUAUUAUCGCAAAAAGCACCGAAGGCUGUUGGUUGAAAUCCUUGCUGGCCGAGCACGCUCGAGCAUGAAACCGCACGCGAACAGCUCUUUAGCGUCUGGGCCGUACCGGAUAGCUACCGGGCUGACUGGGCGGAGGGGGAGGAACCUUUGCAGCAUGGAGACAUGGUGCCCGCAAUUUAUUACAACGCGGGCGACGCGUGCGUUGCUGUUGGAAAGAGCGUUCUGUGAGACGCGCAGGCAUCUUGCUCAUGACCAUAGCAGCCCACCCUGCCGAGUCCCGACCUACCUAUCGGGGACCUGUAGCGACAGUACACGGGGACACGCGGCUUACGGAGCUGCUGGACAAUGCCUCUCUACAUCUCAAACCGACGUGGAUGGGGCAUGCUGCUGUCCCGGAGGAAGUUAUCCACUCUGUACGGCAUUGUUACGGCAUUAUGACUUAGUAGACACCUGUACGGCAUUUCACUAUGUCGGGCAAGUACCGAUGCCGUAAGGGCCCUUCCUUCAUAUUGCGUAUAAAUACAUGCCUUGCAGUAUCGGCGAUUUCUUAUCGUGAAGGUGCAUGUGACGAAUGUUAGUUGUGCUGCAAGAUUGGGCUCAACAUAGUAACUGCAACUAACCUUCGCUUGCGAAGCUGUCCGGAACGCAUAAACCUCUAUCGCACGACUAUAAAUAAUUUGAAUUUAACCACCUAUUAUCGCUUCUACGACUAGGU